GUUAUUCCUUAUCUAUCUAAUAACGUUGAGUUUUCUGGAACCUGUCCCAUUGAACUCUCGCCGGAAAGCUCAAUAAGACAGGUUCUACGUUUAGUUGCCGCGCUUUUAUAUG
rnacentral:sRNA from 23 species